rnacentral:rRNA from 1 species
GACGAACGCUGGCGGCGUGCUUAACACAUGCAAGUCGAACGGAAAGGCCCUGCGUUUGUGGGGUGCUCGAGUGGCGAACGGGUGAGUAACACGUGAGUAAAAUGUCCCUGACUUUGGGAUAUCUUCAGGAAACAGGGGCUCAUAUCGGAGAGGAGAUCCUGCUCCAUGGUGGGGGUUGGAAAGUUUCGGCGGUUGGGGAUGGAAUAGCGGCUUAUGAGCCGGUUGGUGGGGUAGUGGCAUACCAAGGCUUUGACGGGUAGCCGGCCUGAGAGGGGGACCGGCGACAUUACGACUGCGAGACGGCGCAGUCGCGUACCGUCGGCAACGGUGGAGAACAUUGCACAGUAGGGCGAAGCCUGAUGCAGCAACGCCGCGUGCGGGAUGACGUGCUUCGGGGUGUGAACCGCUGUCUCCUGAGACGAAGCGUGAUUGACGGUAACGGGUCAAGAAGCACCGGCUAACUACGUG